UUCGGUAGGAAUUAGCUCCAGAGAAGCUCAGUAUACAAUGGAGGCACAUCUCCAACCACUUCGAUGCAACUCUGAGAGUAAACCUGCUUACUACCCAGGGUGCUCAGUGUGAUAAAGGCUUCCACUACAGUCUCUGAUCAUCGCUACACCCUGGGGUUCCAGAUCAUGGUUCCGGGGAGCCUCUUCUUUCAGCUGAGGUUGAGCAUGCUACCAGCCAAAACGCAAUGUUAGCUGGGGUCUCUGGAGAGGAAAAGCAAAGGAUUUGACUGGCAACUGUCCUCUCCACUUUGAUUCCUGGUCAUGGCGUAGGAAAGUGCAACUCACAAUGACAACUUCCUGUGUGCCCUUUCUCCUCUGUGUCCAUGGAGUCUACUUCCAGGUUUAAGACAGGUCUUGCAGAACUCUUGAAGGACAGCAAAUGUACAAAGGGAAUAAGAAGAAAUCCAAAAGAUAGGAAUGCAGAAAGCCAGAAGAAGAAAAUGAAACAUAGACAACAGACUGAAGAUCUAAACAUGAAAGCGGGGAGGACGUGACAAAAGACGGAGAGAAAGAGGGAGAACAGGAAAGUAGGAUGGAAAGAAGGAUGAAAAAGCAAAGAAGGACUGACAAAUUUAUGACCUCUAGGUUGAUUUUCUGGGGACGCUAAAGCAGAGACCAGACCCCUGGGCAGUAGCUGAUUCUAGAAAAUGAAGUAUUU